rnacentral:lncRNA from 1 species
GAAGCUCCUUCGCUGUCACCAUCUCCGGGUGGAGGAGAGAUUUAUGGGAAGGAAAGCAACUGAGGCCGGUGGCAGAGGUGGGGGGGAGGGGGGAGAGUUUUGCUGUUGGAGAAUGGGCUGCUGCGGACGAUAAAAAGGCCGAUGUCGGUGGCGAUUAGGAGGAAGGCGAUGGCAGAGACCGAUGGGAGGUGGCGGCGAGGAGAGAUCUGUGGGAAGAACAGUACCUGAAGAGAGAUUGG